UUAAAGAUAGGUUAAGAAAACCGCUGAGCUGUGGAUUCAGAGAUGUAAAUAUAUACUCUUUUUC
rnacentral:tRNA from 1 species